rnacentral:rRNA from 1 species
CUUGGUGACGAUAGAGAAAGAGGUACACCCGAUCCCAUCCCGAACUCGGAAGUUAAGUCUUUCAUCGCCGAUGGUACUGCGCACAAGAGCGUGGGAGAGUAGGUCGUCGCUAAGC